rnacentral:rRNA from 1 species
CCUACGGGGGACUGCAGUGAGGAAUAUUGGUCAAUGGACGAGAGUCUGAACCAGCCAAGUAGCGUGAAGGAUGACUGCCCUAUGGGUUGUAAACUUCUUUUAUAUGGGAAUAAAAUGUUCCACGUGUGGGAUUUUGUAUGUACCAUAUGAAUAAGGAUCGGCUAACUCCGUGCCAGCAGCCGCGGUAAUACGGAGGAUCCGAGCGUUAUCCGGAUUUAUUGGGUUUAAAGGGAGCGUAGGUGGAUUGUUAAGUCAGUUGUGAAAGUUUGCGGCUCAACCGUAAAAUUGCAGUUGAAACUGGCAGUCGUGAGUACAGUAGAGGUGGGCGGAAUUCGUGGUGUAGCGGUGAAAUGCUUAGAUAUCACGAAGAACUCCGAUUGCGAAGGCAGCUCACUGGACUGCAACUGACACUGAGGCUCGAAAGUGUGGGUAUCAAACAGGAUUAGAUACCCCUGUAGUC